AGAGUUUGAUCCUGGCUCAGGACGAACGCUGGCGGCAUGCCUAACACAUGCAAGUCGAACGAGAAAGUUCCUUCGGGAGCGAUUAAAGUGGCGCACGGGUGAGUAACGCGUAGACAAUCUGCCCUUCAGUCUGGGACAACUUUUCGAAAGGAGAGCUAAUACCGGAUAACAAUGUUUAACAUAAGUUAAGUAUUUGAAAGCUUUAUGUGCUGAAGGAGGGGUCUGCGUCCCAUUAGCUAGUUGGUAAGGUAAAGGCUUACCAAGGCAACGAUGGGUAGCGGGUUUGAGAGGACGAUCCGCCACACUGGAACUGAGACACGGUCCAGACUCCUACGGGAGGCAGCAGUGGGGAAUAUUGCACAAUGGAGGAAACUCUGAUGCAGCAAUGUCGCGUGAGUGAAGAAGGCCCUUGGGUCGUAAAGCUCUUUUAUGGGGGAAGAUGAUGACGGUACCCCAAGAAUAAGCACCGGCUAACUAUGUGCCAGCAGCCGCGGUAAUACAUAGGGUGCGAGCGUUGUUCGGAAUUACUGGGCGUAAAGGGCGCGCAGGCGGAAUAGUAAGUCGGAGGUGAAAGCCCGGGGCUCAACCCCGGAGGGUCUUUCGAAACUGCUAAUCUAGAGAGGGUCAGGGGCCGGCAGAAUUCCUGGUGUAGAGGUGAAAUUCGUAGAUAUCAGGAGGAAUACCGGUGGCGAAGGCGGCCGGCUGGGGCCACUCUGACGCUGAGGCGCGAAAGCGUGGGGGAGCAAACAGGAUUAGAUACCCUGGUAGUCCACGCCGUAACGAUGAGCACUGGACGUCCGGAGGGUUCGACCCUUCUGGGUGUCUCAGCUAACGCAUUAAGUGCUCCGCCUGGGGAGUACGGUCGCAAGACUAAAACUCAAAGGAAUUGACGGGGGCCCGCACAAGCGGUGGAACAUGUGGUUUAAUUCGAUGCAACGCGAAGAACCUUACCUGGUCUUGACAUCCUCGGACCGCUUCAGAGAUGAAGUUUCCUCUUCGGAGGCCGAGUGACACGUGCUGCAUGGCUGUCGUCAGCUCGUGUCGUGAGAUGUUGGGUUAAGUCCCGCAACGAGCGCAACCCCUACCCUUAAUUGCCAUCGGGUUAUGCCGGGCACUUUAGGGGGACUGCCGGUGACAAGCCGGAGGAGGGUGGGGAUGACGUCAAGUCCUCAUGGCCUUUAUGACCAGGGCUACACACGUGUUACAAUGGGAGUUACAGAGGGAAGCUAAGCCGCGAGGCCAUGCCAAUCCCAGAAAAACUUUCUCAGUUCGGAUCGCAGUCUGCAACUCGACUGCGUGAAGCUGGAAUCGCCAGUAAUCGCGGAUCAGCACGCCGCGGUGAAUACGUUCCCGGGCCUUGUACACACCGCCCGUCACACCAUGGGAGCCGACAAGGGCAGAAGUCGCCGAGCUAACCUUCGGGAAGCAGGCGCCCAAGCUGUUGUUGACGACUGGGGUGAAGUCGUAACAAGGUAGCCGUAGGAGAACCUGCGGCUGGAUCACCUCCUU
rnacentral:rRNA from 1 species